UUUUAGCUAGCACCAAACAUAGAACUUCAUUCAUCAUCCUGCAAGUUAGGGCUGCCAAGGGAAGCCGGCUCUUCCUGAGCCGAAAGUGGCAAUACGCCAGGAUUGGCAGGAAUCAAAUGAAUCAUUUCCUGCUUUUAGUUUUAGAUAAAUAAUCAAAAAAGAUUGUCUAGAUUGUGAUCCAAAAGCCAUUUUUCAUAGCUCUGAGGAUCCAGAAUCCUUCACUUCAUGUGGAAGCCCGCUUUUCUCAUUAUUUUAUUGCACAGUGUUGAAGAGAAGGCAGACAAACCCACCAAGGCCCAAGCAGAGUUUUUAAUGCAGCGAAGACUUACGACCUCAGCGUGCUUCGUCAGUAAGCUCCUGGAAGGACACAGAUGCUGUAUGUUGGUUCCACUGAAACUUCCAGAGCCCCUCUCCAGGAUCCUGACUGGCAGAGCCUCUUACAACGUGGUCCACUUUCCCUGUUUCUACCUGCAGACGAACAUUGCCGCGGAUGGAGGCUGGAACUCUGCCGUAAUGGAGGAGCCAGAAGGCUGCGGCAAAUGAAGGCAUUUGCAUGGUCUCAAAAUGUCAGCAUGGUAUGGAAGUUCUGUCCAAGAGCAAAGCGAUUGAAGCAAGCGAUUUCCUGAAACACGUGACCUCGGAGAGCCCAGUGCUGUAAGUUAAGAAACGACCAUCCAUGUUACAGAAACACCAUUCCUGGUCGUUCUGACGUCAGUCGUACGAUGAAGUGCCAGUUGCGGUGUGGAAAGAUGAUGCCUUGUUCAAAUUAGGAUAACCUCCAGCUAGGUCUAGCAUCCAUGCAAUUCAUGUAAUCCAAGAUUUUACUCACCUGAGGGAACAGACUAUUUUUGCUGGCCCCAGUUCACUUUCUUUCACACGUUUUACAGUGUGUGGUAUUUUAAUCAAUGUCAACCUGCAACUUUCAGAGUCGAGGCUUUGGAGAUGCCCGAUGUCUUUUUUUUUAUUUUUUUCGUUCCUUUUCCCUUGGCAUCAUUUAACUCUACACGAAGCUAUAUGCCCCUUUCUUCACUGUAUGCCACACAGUAAAUUAAGCAUUAAUUAAAGAGUCUCUUGAAGAUCGAGACCUGCACUUCAUGCAUGCCCGUCCCAAGAAACAAGGAAGGAAAUUCUGACACUUAAAACAAAAAGGCACCAUGCAGGGAUAUGAAAUUGACUAUGAAAAGAACGGGGAGAAUGAUAUAGUUCAGAGUGCUGUGACAGAACAGAGGAAAUACAUGGCUGCCAGGGUUCAGUGGAAAGGGAGGGGGUAUGGAGGGCACCUGCAACAACAGAACUUAUCUGGGAGACCUUGGAGUUCCAGGCUUGCUUCGAGGCUUCUUGUCAACCAAGUCAUUGAUGGUUUUGAUCUUAGAUCACCCCCAGACCCUACUUCUCAAGUUCACCCUUUCUCAGAAGUGAACUUGAUCCAGAGCUCUGCCCGUCCCCAAGUCCUCUGGGACUAAGAUUCGAUUAGCAGGAAUGCUUCUCCACCCUGUAUGUAUCCUUCCAUGUGGGGAGCACCCUUGAGAGUAACACUUCUGGCCUCCCAUGUUGCCUCACUCGGUGGUUCCUGAGGGCUCUUCCGAUGACUGAAUUAUGAAGGAGAAACUAGACACUCCUAACCCUGUUCCACUGUCUCCCCUCUCUCUCUCGGAAACCAGAUUCCCACAGAGAGACCUCGUUCUUUCUGCUACGAGCAGGACAGUUUUUGUAGAGAUUUGCCUCCUUUGUGGUGACCCAGCACAGCUUGUGGUGGCCUGCGAUGGCUGUGUAAUUCUGGGGUUUAUUGUGAGGAACUCCAAAUAUCUCCUGGACCUAGUCUUUACCAGUAUAAAGUUAAUAUUUUAUUUCCCACUUUCUAACAUCUCUAUUUUAUGUACAAUUGCUUCAGAACUAGAGUAGGAAAGAGACAUCUUUCCUGGAGGGAAGAGCGAGAGGACAUCAUCCCCACUCCCCUCUUGUCUUUGACCUAUUCUGGUCUCAGCAUAUUCAUACCUCAUAGCGUCCUUUGUCCACACACCACUCUGCAAAAUAGGAUGAUGUGCAUGCUUUUGAAAGAAACAUCCAAUCGGCCUGCGAUCAUGAAACUUUUGUUCAUUUUCAUUCAUUUAUGUAUUUUAAAAACGAAGACUUAAUGGGAAGACUUGUUCUUAUAAAUAUUUAAAUUUGG